UACGAAGGGGGCUAGCGUUGCUCGGAAUCACUGGGCGUAAAGCGCACGUAGGCGGAUUCCUAAGUCGGGGGUGAAAUCCUGGAGCUUAACUCCAGAACUGCCUUCGAUACUGGGAAUCUUGAGUCCGGAAGAGGUGAGUGGAACUGCGAGUGUAGAGGUGAAGUUCGUAGAUAUUCGCAAGAACACCAGUGGCGAAGGCGGCUCACUGGUCCGGUACUGACGCUGAGGUGCGAAAGCGUGGGGAGCAAACAGG
rnacentral:rRNA from 1 species